UACGAAGGGGGCUAGCGUUGCUCGGAAUCACUGGGCGUAAAGCGCACGUAGGCGGAUUGCUAAGUCAGGGGUGAAAUCCUGGAGCUCAACUCCAGAACUGCCUUUGAUACUGGCGAUCUUGAGUCCGGGGAGAGGUGAGUGGAACUGCGAGUGUAGAGGUGAAAUUCGUAGAUAUUCGCAAGAACACCAGUGGCGAAGGCGGCUCACUGGCCCGGUACUGACGCUGAGGUGCGAAAGCGUGGGGAGCAAACAGGG
rnacentral:rRNA from 1 species